CCAAGAAAGAAGGACUUUGGGGGGACUGAUGGUGCCCCUGUUACCUCUCAUCAUUGUAUUAACGGUGAAGUAUAGCGAUGCUCUUGCAUAUCUGCAGAGUAGCCACAAAACCUUUCCAGAUGUGGAGAAAUAGAACUGUUUCAGAUUCGGUUGCAGAUUCAAGCAUGUACACCUCUGCUCCCCUUCACCAGCCAGCUGUUUAUGAAAAGUACUUUUUUAAAGUGGACUCACUCUCUCAGAUAUUUUCGCCUGGGCGUUUCGGAUCCUGGCCAUGGGAUUCCUGAGUUUAUUUCAGUUGGGUAUGUGGACUCUCACCCCAUCACCACAUAUGACAGUAUCUCUCGGCGGAAGGAGCCGCGGGCCUCGUGGAUGGCGGAGAACCUCGCACCGGAUCACUGGGAGAGGUACACUCAGCUGCUGAGGAGCUGGCAGCAGACAUUCAAGAUGGAACUGAAGCACCUGCAGAGUCGCUACAAUCACUCAGGGUUUCACACUUACCAGAGAAUGAUCGGCUGUGAGUUGCUGGAGGAUGGUAGCACCACGGGAUUUCUCCAAUAUGCAUAUGAUGGACAGGAUUUCAUUAUCUUCAAUAAAGACACCCUCUCCUGGACAGCUGUAGAUAAUGUGGCUCACAUCACCAAGAAGGCAUGGGAGGCCAAUCGGCAUGAGUUACAAUAUCAAAAGAAUUGGUUGGAAGAAGAAUGUAUUGCCUGGUUAAAGAGAUUCCUAGAGUAUGGGAAAGAUACCCUGCAGAGGACAGAGCCUCCACUGGUCAGAAUAAAUCGCAGAGAAAUUUUUCCAGGGAUUACAACUCUUUUCUGCAGAGCUCAUGGCUUUUACCCCCCAGAAAUUUCCAUGAUCUGGAUGAAAAAUGGGGAAGAAAUUGAGCAAGAAAUGGAUUAUGGAGACAUUCUUCCCAGUGGGGAUGGGACCUAUCAGACAUGGGUAUCAGUUGAGCUGGAUCCUCAGAGCAGCGAACUUUACUCCUGUCAUGUGGAGCACUGUGGCCUCCACAUGGUUCUUCAGGUCCCCCAGGAAUCAGAAACUAUCCCUCUGGUGAUGAAAGCUGUCGCUGGGUCCAUUGUCCUCGCUAUUGCCCUGGCUGGAGUCAGCGUCCUAGUCUGGAGAAGAAGGCCUCGAGAUGAGAAGCAUGUGGAAAGAUCCUAGGGGCUGCCGAUGGUCUCUCUGCAGCUCCACUUUUACUUUCUGUGCCUGCCACUCUAAGCCGAUUUAGAAAUGGGUUGGGCUUUGCUUUGCGAUCACAUAAGGACCUGGAACACCUCUCCCACCAUACAGGGAACACACACCACGGAUAAUGCUUGCAAGGAGAGUGGUCUGUUUCAUAGGUGAUGCCUGACAUCAACAAAGGCUUAUAACUCCUGUCCAGAGCAAAAUGGAGUCAUCUACCUUGCUACACCAGAUCAAUGACUGGAGAUAGCUCUUUUCCAGUUCUCUUUCCUCUAGGAAUCAUGGUCUUCUCUGUCUCCUAUGGAUUCAAGUCCAGUGCUCAAAGCUCUUGACCACACCCACAGCAGACGUGGAUAUUAUAGGAUUGAAUAUUUAGGGCAGGAAGGUAGGAGCCAGGAAAUUUUCUUUGUUCUUUGGCUCCAAAAAGACUGUUAGUUUUCGAGCUCAUUUGAUGGACUCCUUUUUCAUAUUUGGCUCUAAAUGUAGCUUGUCUCAUGACACGAUACUUCUCUCCAUCCCAUUUGUCAACAAUAGUUUACAAGUAGACUAGAGAAUCUCAGACCUGGAAGGAACUAUCUGAUCCAGGGAAGGAAAUGUCUUCUAUAGUGCCUUUGACUUGAGCAUCCAGCCUCCACUUGACUACCCCCAGUGGAGGGGCACCUCACUAUGUCAUAAAAUGGCCUUUCUCCUUCAUCUUCUUUCAUGAGAAUGUUUAUUAUGCAAGAGCUUUGAAUAUCAUGGGCGCCAUGACUGUGUCCCUACAGACAGGGUUGAACCACCCCAUGAGAGUAGCCAGCGAGUUUCUACAAUGGCUUGUGAAUGGCCAGAUUGCUUUACACAUUUCCUGGCCUGAGAAAAAGCAAAAAUGCCCUUGUUCUUAUGGCAAAUCUGCCUGGUAGCUUGGAAUCUUGAAAAUAGGCCUGGUUGGAUCUGUGGAAGUGGUCCUGUUCUUUCUGUCUUUUGUGGGUAAGAACAAUAAUUAUCAGACAUAUUAUUACCUUCACUGGAACCACAGAGACAUGGACCCAAUUGAAAUCUUUUAAUGUAAAAAUGAUAGCUUGUUUGUGUCUCAGAAGAGGGUUCAAUUCUAAUUUCUGUCCAUCCUCUACUGGCUUAUUGUGGAUGAACCUGACUCCUCUUUAUACAUAUGUUAUUCUCCAUACAUAUGCACUGGGAAUAAAUAAAAGCCCCACUGUGAGAAUUAACAUCCCCUUAAUCCCCCUUACUCUCCUCAACCCCCUAAAAUCCUCGCCACCAUUUACCUCUUGUCCUACCAUGUGUAGCUGCUGGUCCUAGGGUUGACCGUGAGUUACAAAUUCAUCCAUCCCACUCCUCUGACCCUGUCUGACUGCAUACCUCAGCCCUAAUACUUACUUCAGUGGCCCCAGCUUUGACAACUGGCUUUGGAAAUGUACCUCAGGCUUGACUUUCCUCUCCCUUGACCAUGACAUUUGCCCUCUGGCUUUAAUCAUCACAGCCAUAGGUAAAGACACUUUCCGUGUGCCAGCCCUCAGAGAACCCACCUGCCAGGCCUACUCCUUGCUCCACUAUCCCCACCUAGUUCCAUGGAUGAAGCUCCCACUGUAUGUCUCCCUUUUCUGUCACCAGUUGAGUUGCGUAGGAGCACAAUUGUGUUUACUUAUUUUGUUUUUAGGGUUGCUGUGGGCAGUUUCCAUUCCAUCUUUUUUUGUUGUCGUUGUUAAGGAAGAUUUGCCCUGAGCUAACAUCUGUGCCAGUCUUCCUCUAUUUUGUGUGUGGGUUGCCACCACAGCAUGGCUGCUGAUGAGUGGUGUAGGUCUGCACCUGGGAACUGAACCUGGGAUGCCAAAGCAGAGUGCGAUGAACUUAACCACUAGGCCACGGGGCAGGCCCCAUCCAUACCAUCUUUUAAGCAGUGUCGCACUAUGAAGAGAGCACUUUAUUUCUGUUUUCUUCUUACAAUCAGAAUAGUUAGGACUUAAUAUAUUUUUGGAUGGACACAUAGUGAUAGAGGUGAUGUAUCUAUGUAAAUGUCAGGUGCAGGGUGUUUUCAUCAAAGACAAGAAUGGCCAAAGCUUCUUUGUGCUCCCAGGGCCUUGCCCCACACCUAACACAAAUAAAAAUGCCCAAAUGGGUGAAGAGGAGGAAGUGGAGGCAAGGAUAAGGAUGCAGUGACAAGAUAUUCUGUAAUGCACUUGCAGCAUUUCUGUUUCUCUCUUGGGGAUUUUAUAAUAUAAAGAGUUGUCAUAUAAAUAUAAUAUAAAGGGGUGACUUUAAAAAAUACCCAAAAUUUUGCAAUCUUCAUUUUACCAGGGUUCAAAAUUAUAUUAUUUCUUAAUAAUAUUAUACUUGUUAUUGCUCCCUUAAUUCAUGUUUGUUGAGUACAGAUGCUCAGUAAUCAAAAUCUAUGAAAUAUUUGGUAACAUAAUCUAAACACUAAAAACAGGGGCCAGCCCCGUGGCUUAGUGGUUAAGGGCGUGUGCUCUGCUACUGGUGGCCCGGGUUCAGAUCCUGGGCGCGCACUGAUGCAGUGCUUCUCCGGCCAUGCUGAGGCCGCGUCCCACAUGCAGCAACUAGAAGGAUAUGCAACUAUGACAUACAACUAUCUACUGGGGCUUUGAGGGGAAAAAAAAAAAAA